rnacentral:tRNA from 1 species
GGUCGGUUAGCUCAGUUGGUUAGAGCGUCGUACUAAUACAGGAAAAUACUACUGUAUCAAGUAAUGCGAAGGCCAUGAGUUCGACCCUCAUACUGACCA